AAACUGUUUUUGACUGUUUUAUUAGUACAGGUCAGCUUUGCUGUCACCCCAUGACUCCAGUCUGCCUGGGUGCUGUGGUUGAGAUGAUCAGACUGUGCUUCAGCUGGAGGAUGACUCAGAAACUAGUGCAUGUGUCUUACAGCUGAGAGUCCAGCCAGGGGCGGGUCUUACAGGGAAAUGAAACCAAUUUGUGUGAACUCAAAAAUUUUGAGUCUUUCCCUAGCCUUAGUGGCAGCACUUGUUUCUGACAAGGCACGGUACUCCCAAAGCAAUGUUUGGGGUUAGAGGACAGAGGGGAGGCAGCAGGUACAGGACACCUUCUGCCUCCAGUACCCCAUUUUUUUCUCAGGGUUACCUGAGAGGAAACAACAAAACAGAGGAGGCUGAAAAAACCCAGAAGCUGACAACAUCUGAAGAGGAGGGAAGCAGCCGAGCGCUGGUCUACCAACAACAGCAAGAGGAAUAUGUCCGCCCUUAUGUCUUGAUAACUCCAAACGAAACCAGAAGAAACCAGUUGCAGCAAAUUGCUAAGAAAGAGCUAGAUGACCUGGAGCGGUGGAAGGAAGAGCACAGGCCAGGGCCAAUUAAGUUGGUUCCACAGAGACUGGGUGGAAAAGAAUCAGAGGCUCAAACAAGGCAAAAACAGCAAAUGAUGCUCAUGCAAUCUAAAUACCAGCAAAAGCACAAGAGAGAAGAGUAUGUAAAAGCAAAAAAGGCAGCUGAAGAAGCUGAAAUCCUCAAAAAGAAAGCAAUUCAGAGAGAAAAGGCAGAGAGACUUGAAGUUAAAAAAAGGCAACAAGAAAUACAAAGAGGAGAGAUGUUCCUUGAAGAUCAAUAUUACAAAACCAAUGAAUUAUUGAACAGAUUGGACUUGGGUUUGCCAAAGAGUGAUUCCUGUCAGAUUGCUGAUCGUGGCCCAGAAUCUACAGCAUGGGUAAGAAGCCAUACUUAUAAGCAAGCUCUUCGAGAGGACGAAAAAAGAAGAUUAGAGGAGAUGAAGCAAGCACAACGGAGGAAGGCUGAAUUAAUGGAAUUUAAACAAAAGCAGGAGGAGGAAGCCAGGACAAAAGCACGUCAAAACGAACAGAGGAGGGUAAAUAACGCUUUCCUGGACCGACUCCAGAGCAAAAUGCAACCUGAUAGACUCCACCAACCUGGAUAUUCUGAGAAUCUGAACUACCUCAGUAACAGCAUCUGGCUGGUGUCGUGCAUGAGAAUGAGAAAUGCUCUCUCAGAUGCUGACUCUGCCCUUUCAGUGGAUGCACAGUUGUAGAUGUUCAUUGUGGGAAGCAACUGUGCCCUGAAUACCAGGAGUCAAAUGACUUGGAAUAAAGGAGGAGAAAGGGUACUGGAGAAAUAUUCACUUUUAUCUGGCCUAGGCCAAAUGACCUUGUAAAAGCUCUGAGAAAACGCUCUUUUAUCAUUGUGAUUUUUUUUCUUACUCUGACUUCAGCUUCACACCCACUUCAUGAGCAAUCUGCAGAGACUGGUUUCUAGCUGUCAUUAUUCAGGCAUAUUUGAAGCAGCUGAUUAUGGAAGUCCUAUUUAAUUUUUAAUAAGAGAAUGUGUCAUUUUUUUUUCAUAAAUUGUUUUGCCUCUUGCAGAAUGUAAUUAUCCCAGUCUUUGGGAUCUCAGAAACAGAAGACAUUAGUGGCUGUAGAAGCUGCAGUAAUAUCAGUGUUUACUUGCUGCUCUAUACCCAGCCAAAAAUGUCUCAGAGAUUUGAACUAAAGAAGCAGGUAGAGGUGGGUUUUUUUGGGAUGGGAAGGAGAAGUGUUGCUGAUUUGGGGUUGUUUGUUUGGGGGUUUGGUUUUGUUUUGUUUUGGUGGGGAUUUUGUGGAAUUAUUUUGCUAUUGUAUUUAACAGCAGACACUCAAGAAGAAAUAUGUGUAUUGUAAACACGAUCUUUUAAAUAUGUUCUUAGAAAACUACAACACAGGAAAGAAAUAAAACUUGAGAUAACACUGAAAUGUA